rnacentral:rRNA from 1 species
UACGAAGGGGGCUAGCGUUGUUCGGAUUUACUGGGCGUAAAGCGCACGUAGGCGGAUUGUUAAGUUGGGGGUGAAAUCCCAGGGCUCAACCCUGGAACUGCCUUCAAUACUGGCAAUCUCGAGUCCGGAAGAGGUGAGUGGAACUCCUAGUGUAGAGGUGGAAUUCGUAGAUAUUCGCAAGAACACCAGUGGCGAAGGCGGCUCACUGGUCCGGUUCUGACGCUGAGGCGCGAAAGCGUGGGGAGCAAACAGG